rnacentral:lncRNA from 1 species
CCAUUUGAGGCUUCGGGACUAUUUAGGGUUAUGUUUCUCCCUGCUUUGACUCUGGAGGGUGCUUACUGACUCGCUGUGGAAUGGGAAGGAGAGAUCCACAUGGCAGGAUGCCCAGAUCUGAGCGUGGUCACCGCCAGAGCUCUCUGGGUUGGCCCAGCAGCCUGCAGAGAUCUUUGCUAUAGCUCGUGCCUGACACUCCACAGUGCCUCCUGCCUGCUGUCCAGCACAGCCCCUUGUUGCUUUGCUGCUGCCCUUCGCUGGGGCUGCUGCCUGCCUUGCCUGGACCUCUGUCUGCUGCUGAUUACGAAACCCUCUUAAGGUUUUCUAGCUGGGCCCAUCCCUCAGAAUGGAAACUACUGUGUCCAGACUCAAUCACUAUGUCCCAGUUAUGGCAGGGAGAAGAGAUGCUCUUGGGAGUUUCGGAGCCAGCAAGAGAUAAUGAGGGGAAAGGGGGAAAAUGUCCUCAUGAUCUUCCAGGAAGCAAAGUUGCACGUGACGCCAAGGUGAGACUGUUACUGCUGUUGCUAUUGCUAUUCGUAGUCAGCCUACGAGUGCCCAGCUGCUUGCAAAGGUGCCUCUGGCUGGCUGAAAUGACCUGGAAUCCCAGCCCCCAGAGCGUGUGCCCCCUAGCUCCAUGCCCUUGGGCUGAGGACUUACUCACUCUUUCUGAAGCUCCAUUUCCUCAUCCGCCAAAUGAGGCUUUGUGGAGAUCAUACCUUUGCUCAUUUUCAAACUCUCAGGGCGGCGUCAGCCAAACCAGUCGGUGGACAGUGCAUGGGAACGUGUGUGGUGCACCAUGCAGAUGAUGUGGUCUUCCUUCACGCAUCGGCGGGGGCCACAGACCUGGACCCUCUUGCCUGCUGUUGGUGGACUGCAAAGAUUGGGAUCAGUGUCCUGAGGGCAUAGCAGGUCAGAAAAGAGGCAAAUGGCCUGACAUGGAGCCAGCUGAGACGAGGGAGACAGUAUACGAAGCCAAGGGCUUUGGGGAGCCAGCAGAGCCCUUGCAUGGGGAAGUGUAAAGGAAAGGAAUUUCCUGAGUGGAGAGGAAUUUCCUGAGCUAGAGUACAGGGGCUCCUGACUUCUUUUUGUUUGGGGCUUGCUGUUGCUGGUCUAGCAGCUCAGACUGAAGCUGUUUUGGAAGCAGCUAAUAGGGUAGAAGAAGAACAGACCAAAUGUGAGGGACUGUUCUGGUAAGAUCUGGCAGGACUGGGGGACCCGGGAAAGGGUACAAGGCCAGUGCCAGCUAGCCCAAGGGAAACCCUGUUCAGAGGAGAGAGAGUGGGAAGUGACCUAGGUGAGCAGCAGAGGCAGGCCGUAUUUGGACACUGUGAUGAUUAAUUUUAGGUGUCGACUUGGCUAGGCUCUGAUGCCCAGUUGUUUGGUCAGACGCUAGUCUGGAUGCUGGUGUGAAAAUAUUUUUUAUAUGUGAUUAACAUUUAAAUCGGUUGACUUUGACUAAAGCAAAUUGCUCUCCAUGAUGUGGGUGGGCCUCAUCCAAUCAGUUGAAGGCCUGAAGAUGAAAGACUGAGGUUUCCCAAAGAAGAAGAAAUUUGCCUUCAAGACCGUAUCAUAGAAACCCUUGCCAGGUUUCCAACCUGCCUGGCCUGCCCCGAAGAUUUUGAACUCAAGACUACAGCGUCCGUUCUUACCUGAUUUCUAGCCUGUUGGGCUGCACUACAAAUUUCAGACUUGUUCGCUCCUAUAAUGGUGUGAGCCAGUUCCUUCAAAUCCCCUCAUGCAUCUAUGUAUUUGUAUAUGCACAUGUAUUGUGUAUAUGUGUUUAUGCGCGUCCGUGUAUAUAUUAUAGGUAUGUGUAUAUACAUAUUUGCAUCUAU